rnacentral:rRNA from 1 species
UUCGGCUUAGAGUUUGAUCCUGGCUCAGGACGAACGCUGGCGGUGUGCUUCACACAUGCAAGUCGAACGGGGUAGCAAUACCCAGUGGCGGACGGGUGAGUAACACGUGGGAAUCUACCAUUAGAUGGGGAAUAACAGGCCGAAAGGACUGCUAAUGCCGCAUAUGUAUGUGCCUCGACAGGGGCGUAUAUGAAAGGAGUAAUCCGUCUGAUGAUGAGCCCGCGUCCGAUUAGCUAGUUGGUAGGGUAAAAGCCUACCAAGGCGACGAUCGGUAGGUGGUCUGAGAGGAUGAUCACCCACAAUGGGACUGAGACACGGCCCAUACUCCUACGGGAGGCAGCAGUGGGGAAUUUUGUGCAAUGGGGGAAACCCUGACACAGCGACACCGCGUGAGCGAAGAAGCCCUUUGGGGUGUAAAGCUCUGUCAACGGGAACGA